ACAAGCACAUGCCACCACGCCUGGCUCAUUUUUGUAUUUUCUGUAGAGAUUGGGUCCUUUUUUUUUUUUUUUUUUUCGAGACAGAGCCUCGCUCUGUUGCCCAGGCUGGAGUGCAGUGGUGCAACCUCGGCUCACUGCAGCCUCUGCCUCGUGGGUUCAAGCGAUUCUUCUGCCUCAGCCUCCCGAGUAGCUGGGAUUAUAAGCAUGCGCCACCAUGCCCAGCUCAUUUUUGUACAGACAGGGUUUCACCAGGUUGGCCAGGCUGGUCUCCAGUCUGGCCUCGUUUUCCACCCAUCUUGGCCUCCCAAAGUACUGGGAUUAUAGGCGUGAGCCACAGCACUCAGCUCAUUUUUGUAGACAGGGUUUCACCAGGUUGGCUAGACUGGUCUCCAACUCUGGCCUCAUUUUCCACCCAUCUUGGCCUCCCAAAGUGCUGGGGUUACAGGCGUGAGCCACAGCACCCAGCUGAGACUGAGUCUCAUUUUGUUGCCCAGGAUGGUCUUGAACUCCUGAGCUCAAGCCGUCUGCCCGCCUCGGCCUCCCAAAGUACAGCACUCAAUAAAUAUUUAAAUGGCACUUAAAUAUUCAAGCAAAUUAUUGUUCUACUCACCACAUUGUAUUUACUUGGUUUUCCCAGAUUUAAUAUACCAUAUUAAUGGAGUAAAGGAAGAAACAAAACCACAUGAUCACUUCAAAACACAGAAAAAGCAUUUGACAAAAUCCAAUACCCUUUGGUGAUUAAAAGACUCAAACUAGAAAUAAAAGUGAACUUCUGACAUAGCGCAGUGGCUCAUGCCUGUAAUCCCAGGACUUUGGGAGGCCGAGGUAGGAGGAUUGCUUGAGGCCAGGAGUCUCUGUGACCGAGGGCUUCCCACACAUUUGCUUGUAUGGUUCCUAGGUUAAACCUUUUAGUGGCACCUCAUUACCAUGCAGAUAAUCCAUGCUCCAUGACAUGGAAUACAGAGCUCUCCAGUUCCUAAACUGUCCAUGCCCUAUGACUGGGCCCUCAGUCCACUGGACAGACAUUUUUUUCAAAACCAAAUUGGUGUUUCCCUUCGGAUCCUUCUCUGUCCAGCAAGUUAAGUGCUUUCUUCAGCCUUUGUGUGAAUGGUAAUGAGGUAUCACUAAAAGGUUUUAAGCCUAGGAACCAUACAACCAAAUGUGUGUUUAGGGGGCCCUCAGUCAGGCAGAGUCCUGGCCUCAACCCCACAGAAUCUUUUAGCAGGCCCUGGGCUGACUGUAAUAGGGUGCCAUCUUCUUCUUUUUUAAGACGGAGUUUCGCUCUUGUUGCCUAGGCUGGAGUGCAAUGGCACGAUCUUCGCUCACCGCAACCUCUGCCUCCUGGGAUUACAGGCAUGCACCACCACGGCCGGCUAAUUUUGUAUUUUUAGUAGAGACAGGGUUUCUCCAUGUUAGUCAGGCUAGUCUUGAACUCUCGAUGUCAGGUAAUCUGCCUGCCUUAGCCUCCCAAGGUGCUGGGAUUACAGGUGCCUGCCACCACACCCGGGUAAUUUUUUGGAUUUUUAGUAGAGACGGGGUUUCACCAGGUUGGUCUCAAACUCCUGACCUCAGGUGAUCCACCUGCCUCAGCCUCCCAAAGUGCUAGGAUUACAGAUGUGAGCCACCGCACCUGGCCUUUUUUUUUUUUUGAGACAGUCUUACUCUGUCGCCCAGGCUGAAGUGCUGUGGUGUAGUCUCAGCUCACUGCAACCUCCGCCUCCCGGGUUCAAGCAAUUCUCCCGCCUCAGCCUCCUGAGUAGCUAGAAGUAUAGAUGCAUGCCACCAUGUACCAUGCCCAGCUAGUUUUUGUAUUUUUAGUAGAGAUGGGGUUUCACUAUGUUGGCCAGGCUGGUCUCGAACUUCUGACCUUGCGAUCUGCCUGCCUUGGCCUUCCAAAGUGCUGGGAUUAUAGGCAUGGGUCACCACGCCCAGCGGCCAUCUUCCUUCUACUUAAGAGUUCCUGUUCCCAGGCCUACUAAGCAUCUCAUAGACAUCAGACAAGUCACAGGAGUCUUCAGCUUGGCAUUGGAAUUGUAGGCGUGGAUAUGGCCUCCUGGAAGGAGUACAGAAUCAGUACUACCCAGAGGCCAAAGGCUCGGAGCCAGUGAACCUGAGGGAGGCCAUGGAAGAGACAAGGACUUUCCUCUCCUGCUGACCCAAAGGCCCAUCUUCUGAAUUCUGGAACCCCCUUUUCAUCAGACAGGAUCUCGCUCUGCCAUGCAGACUGAAGUGCAGUGGUGCGAUCAUAGUUCACUGCAACCUCGAACUCCUGGCCUGAAGUGAUCCUCCUGCUUCGUUUUCCCAAACUGCUGAGAUUAUAGGUGUGAGCCACUGUGCCUGACCUGACUUGGUUCUGAUAAGCCUCUGGCCCUGGGGUCAUAUGUCUUAUUGAGACCCCGUAAAGCACAGGCCUUCGCAGCCCUUACCAAACUGGGAAAAGCAGCACUCUGUGUACUGUGUAAACGGAAGUGUGCUCAGAGCUAGACUUUACUCAUAAACCAGACAUGAGAAGGUCGCUCCUUCCCCUCACCAGGACUCUCACCUGCAGG